GCAUCAGUAGUGUAAUGGCUCAGCACGCCAGAUCGGAUAUUUGCAAGUGAGGGCUCGAGUCCCGCCUGAGGUU
rnacentral:tRNA from 1 species